rnacentral:rRNA from 1 species
UAGGGAAUCUUCGGCAAUGGGGGCAACCCUGACCGAGCAACGCCGCGUGAGUGAAGAAGGUUUUCGGAUCGUAAAGCUCUGUUGUAAGUCAAGAACGGGUGUGAGAGUGGAAAGUUCACACUGUGACGGUAGCUUACCAGAAAGGGACGGCUAACUACGUGCCAGCAGCCGCGGUAAUACGUAGGUCCCGAGCGUUGUCCGGAUUUAUUGGGCGUAAAGCGAGCGCAGGCGGUUUGAUAAGUCUGAAGUUAAAGGCUGUGGCUCAACCAUAGUUCGCUUUGGAAACUGUCAAACUUGAGUGCAGAAGGGGAGAGUGGAAUUCCAUGUGUAGCGGUGAAAUGCGUAGAUAUAUGGAGGAACACCGGUGGCGAAAGCGGCUCUCUGGUCUGUAACUGACGCUGAGGCUCGAAAACGUGGGGAGCGAACAGGAUUAGAUACCCUGGUAGUCCACGCCGUAAACGAUGAGUGCUAGGUGUUGGAUCCUUUCCGGGAUUCAGUGCCGCAGCUAACGCAUUAAGCACUCCGCCUGGGGAGUACGACCGCAAGGUUG